rnacentral:rRNA from 1 species
GAGAGGGAAACAGCCCAGACCGUCAGCUAAGGUCCCCAAGUCUAGGCUAAGUGGGAAAGGAUGUGGGAUUGCCUGGACAGCCAGGAGGUUGGCCUAGAAGCAGCCAUCCUUUAAAGAGUGCGUAACAGCUCACUGGUCAAGCGGUCCUGCGCGGAAAAUUCAACGGGGCUCAAGCCUGACACCGAAGCCACGGGCCUCCGCGUCAGCGGGGGUGGUAGGGGAGCGUUCUGCAGGCAGAGAAGCCGUACUGUGAGGAGCGGUGGAGCGUGCAGAAGUGAGAAUGCCGGCAUGAGUAGCGNNNNNNNNNNNNNNNNNNNNNNNNNNNNNNNNNNNNNNNNNNNNNNNNNNNNNNNNNNNNNNNNNNNNGUCGGGCCUUAGCCGAGGCCGAGAGGCGUAGGCGAUGGACAUCCGGUUAAUAUUCCGGAACCACCUGAGAGGAGCGAUGAGGGGACGCAGCGUGGUAGGCCAGCCCGUUAAUGGAUUCGGGUGCUAAGCCCUUAGGGCGAUGAUGGGGGUAGGAAAAUCCGCUCCCGGAGUCUGAGGGGUGAUGGCGGUGCCAAAGAGCCAGAAGUGGCUGAGCCAAGCUGCCAAGAAAAGCCUCUAAGCGUUGAAUCUCGGGUGCCCGUACCGCAAACCGACACUGGUAGACGGGUAGAGUAUACCAAGGCGAACGGGAGAACCCUCGUUAAGGAACUAGGCAAAAUGACCCCGUAACUUCGGGAGAAGGGGUGCCCCGGUAGGGUGAGGCAAUUAUGCUGAGCCCGAGGGGGUCGCAGUGAAAUGGCCCUGCCGACUGGUUACCAAAACCACAGGUCUCUGCUAACUCGUAAGAGGAUGUAUAGGGGCUGACGCCUGCCCAGUGCCGGAAGGUUAAAGGGAAGGGUUAGGCGAACCUUCGGUUCGUCGAAGCUCUGAACUGAAGCCCCGGUGAACGGCGGCCGUAACUAUAACGGUCCUAAGGUAGCGAAAUUCCUUGUCGGGUAAGUUCCGACCCGCACGAAUGGCGUAACGAGUGGAGCACUGUCUCAACGAGGGACCCGGCGAAAUUGAAGUCGCGGUAAAGAUGCCGCGUACCCGCAGCAGGACAAAAAGACCCCGUGGAGCUUUACUGCAGCUUGGCAUUGAGUUAGGGCUUAGUCUGUGUAGGAUAGGUGGGAGGCUGUGAAGCUGGGGCGCCAGCCUCGGUGGAGCCGAUCUUGAAAUACCACCCUGGUUAAGUCUUGGCCCUAACCCCUGGCCGUGAUCCGGCAGGGGGACAGUGCCAGGUGGGCAGUUUGACUGGGGCGGUCGCCUCCGAAAAUGUAACGGAGGCGCCCAAAGGUUCCCUCAGGCUGAAUGGAAACCAGCCGCAGAGUGUAAAGGCACAAGGGAGCUUGACUGCGAGACCUACAAGUCGAGCAGGGACGAAAGUCGGGCUUAGUGAUCCCACGGUUCCGAGUGGAAGGGCCGUGGCUUAACGGAUAAAAGCUACCCCGGGGAUAACAGGCUAGUCUUGCCCAAGAGUUCACAUCGACGGCAAGGCUCGGCACCUCGAUGUCGGCUCGUCGCAUCCUGGGGCUGGAUAAGGUCCCAAGGGUUGGGCUGUUCGCCCAUUAAAGCGGUACGUGAGCUGGGUUCAGACCGUCGUGAGACAGGUCGGUCUCUAUCCGCUGUGGGCGUAGGGGA